rnacentral:snRNA from 1 species
GUACUUGUUUCGGUGGUACAUAUUCUAAAAUUGGAACAAUACAGAGAAGAUUAACAUGGCCCCUGAGCAAGGAUGACGUGAAGCAUUCCAUAUCUUU